rnacentral:lncRNA from 1 species
CUGCAUAUGAAAUUUCCCAAAGAAAGAAAGGGAGACUUCAUCCUAGAAGGGGAGAGAGACUAGAUUAAGGCAUCACAACUGUGUGUGCGACACACACAUAGCUAUGAUGCCUCAAUCCAUUCUUACAACCCCACUAUCCCUUUAAAUAGCAAAGGAGGAGAAACAUCCUAUUUCCCAGUAAUCUGACCCAACCGUUUCUGGCUCUUGAAUGUCACCCGCCUGUUCCUCUUAAGGAUGGUGGGCGAAAUUGAUUGGGAAAGAGGAGGGGGAGGGAAGCUGGUAUUGAUCGGACUGCGAGGCCCAUUCAGCAACCUCCCCCCCCCACUCUCCCCUUAACACUAAACCCCCAGAGAACGGCUCCCCUCUUCCCCUCCCCACUUUGCCUUUAACCAUACAGUACUUAAUGGGCAUUUUGUAGUUUCGAUUUCACUCCCCCCACUCCCUUGGGGCAGCUGGGGGGGCUGAUAUUGACCAUCAGAUGGGAAAGAGGGGGGGGGAUGUCCGCACAGACAGAGGGGAGAGGGGGAAGUCAGAGCUGAGAGAUUUUCCAGCCUCAUCUUUCGGAGGGGACCCACACACACACACACACACACACACACACACACACACACACACACACACACAGCCUGCCUGCCUGCCUGCCUGCCUGCCUCUGGUUAGACAGGGGACAUUUUGCUCCAGGGAUCUCUGCCUUGUAGUUUUUACAACCUUGCUAGGAUUUAGAGAUAGGUAGAUGGAUAGACAGGUGGAGAGAGAGAUGAACAGAUAGAUAAGUAGAAAGACAGAUAGAGCAGAAGAUAGAUGAAAGAUAGAUAGAUAGAUAGAUAGAUAGAUAGAUAGAUAUAGAAGAGUGAGAAAUGGAUUGGAGAGAGAGAGAGAUGGUUCAUUGUCCAAAAAAAGCAGAGAUAUGGGGAAAUAAAAAAGAGGGACACCUGCAGGCAAAUGGAGACGGAGAGAGGUGUGUCGGAUUGUUUGUUUCAGGCAAGAAUUUUUUUGGGGGGGGGAUGAAUGGAAUUAAAAAGUCUGCUCCAAGGAUCCAGAUACCUUCACUGACUGUGAGAGAGAGAGAGAGAUCAUCAGAAGAUAAUAAUUCCAAGGUAGCCCAGGGCCUUUCGCCUUGGGAGGGAGACACAGGCCCCCCUGGCUGCUUCCUUCUUGGCUGUGCUCUUGCCUGCACAGCUGGAGGGGGGGCUCUUGCCCUGGGGUCCUCUUAGAGGGUUUCCCAGUGGGGCAUUUCAGUGGCACUGAGAGAGGCAGAUGCCAGACAGGAUGAGGCCCCCCCUUAGGCCUGAUCCAGGAGACUCUGCUUAUAUUCUUAGGUGUUCUCCCUCCCUUCUCCACAAAACAGGCGGACCAGCAGUAGGAAGAAGGCUCUCUCAUUACAGAGUUUGGGUUUGUUUUUUUAACCCCUUACCCAUAGGGUUGAGCAGAUCUGACAAUCUCUAUUUCUCAGUUUUUUAUUCCCCCUCCCCAUAGAUGUAGCCACGAUUUUUGUUAGGGAUCAGGCCUUUGUUAGUGGGGACAGGCCUUUUGUUGGGGGGGCAGAACCUCAGUUAGCCAUGUAUUUUUUUAUUGGGGGGCAGCCCGUGUGUCCUCCCCCCAAUCUUUUAAGAUCGGCUCUCCUCACUUUCACAUCAGCUGGCAAUUUUUAAAAUAAAAGUCCUCAUGAAAGUUCAUCAGAAUCUUAGUGCCUACUACUCAGAAAACAUACAUUUGUGUAGGCACUUUCCCCUAAUAUACUCUCUCUCUCUCUCUCUCUUUAUUGCAAAGUAGUUGCCCCAAAUAUAACACACUUUCACCUGUUAUCUGUUAUAUAAUUCCUGGGGAUGCCAGGACUGAACCAGGGACCUUUUGCUCCACCGCUGAGCUACAGCCCUGACCUGCUGUGGUCCUUCUCUGUUUCAGACCCUGAACCUGCCUCUGGCCCACAAAGACUGACAGUCUCCACCCUCCUGGUCCCCAACAGACCACGGCUUGGUAGUCUCUCGGCACUACACCA